UCACAGGCCAGACAACUCAGCAUGCUUGAAAUUCACAGCAGCCAUUUCAGAUCUCAACAUAUUUAGGCCCUUUGACUUGGCUGUUUAAUGUGCUAGAAAAGGUCCCAGGAAACAGAAAAGGGUCACCUGGUUCCCGUACAAGACAACUACACCUUGAAAAGUAACAGAGCAUUGCAGAAGCACCACUCCUGAUAGCAGCUCUCCCGACUGCUGAGUUACAUUGUGUUAUGCCAGUGUGCCUCUGGAGGUCACUUACAGCUCUGAGAACUCAGCUUCCACCUGUUUGGCCAGAGGACACUGCCCGAUGACUUGGAGGAAGGAGAUGGCCUCAAGAAGUUUGUUCUCUGUCUGAGCCAAGUACUGGUGAUACGGUCUGGGAGAAGUGUUUCUACAAGAACUAAAGAACUGGAGAAACCAUCAAAGGAAGAGUUGAAGCUCAUUGGGGAAAGCCACAGAGCUACACCAGCACCCUCAUGUUCCUGAGAAAAUGAGUCUGAAGAAACAAAUAUAUCAAGGUCAAGAAAGAAAUGAGAAGGCUGAGUGUUUAAGAGCAUAAAAAGAGAGUUUUUUUCCCUGAAA